rnacentral:rRNA from 1 species
UCAGGCCUACGGGGCGCAGCAGUGAGGAAUAUUGGUCAAUGGGCUUACGCCUGAACCAGCCACGUCGCGUGAGGGAAGACUGCCCUAUGGGUUGUAACCCUCUUUUGUCAGGGAGCAAUUGGCGCUACGUGUAGCGUUAUCGAGAGUACCUGAAGAAAAAGCAUCGGCUAACUCCGUGCCAGCAGCCGCGGUAAUACGGAGGAUGCGAGCGUUAUCCGGAUUUAUUGGGUUUAAAGGGUGCGUAGGCGGAAUGCCAAGUCAGCGGUAAAAUCGCGGGGCUCAACCUCGCUCGGCCGUGGAAACUG